GCCCCCCAGUCCCCCACCUGUACUGGACGCGGACGCGCGGCUCCAUGGUGGCCCCGUACUGCAGGGCGGAGACGCGGGGACAGCCCAGGGCAUAGCGGGCCUGGGACAGGGACAGCCAGCCCUGGGGGGACAUUUUGGGGACAUUUGGGGCGUUUUGGGGACAUUUCGGGGAUGUUUGGGGUCAGUGGGGGCAUUUGGGGGACAUUGGGGGCAUUUUGGGGACAUUGGGAGACACUGGGGUCAUUGGGGACAUUGGGGGCAUUUUGGGGAUGUUUGGGAACAUUGGGGACAUUUCGGUGAUGUUUGGGGACAUUGGGGUCAAUGGGGACAUUUUGGGGACAUUUGGGGGCACUGGGGUCAAUGGGGACAUUUUGGGGAUGUUUGGGGACAUUGGGGUCAAUGGGGACAUUUCGGGGACAUUGGGGUCAAUGGGGGCAUUUUGGGGACAUUGGGGUCAAUGGGGACAUUUUGAGGGCAUUGGGGUCAAUGGGGACAUCUCGGGGAUGUUUGGGGACAUUGGGGGCAUUUUGGGGAUGUUUGGGGACAUUUGGGGAACAUUGGGGUCAAUGGGGACGUUUGGAGGGCAUUGGGGACAUUUCAGAGAUGUUUGGGGACUUUGGGGGGACAUUUGGGACGUUUUGGGGACAUUGGGGUCAAUGGGGGCAUUUUGGGGAUGUUUGGGGACAUGGGGGGCAAUGAGGACAUUUUGGGGACAUUUCAGUGAUGUUUGGGGACACUGGGGUCAACGGGGACAUUUCGGGGAUGUUUGGGGACAUUUAGGAGACACUGGGGAAUGUCUGGGGACAUUUUGGGGACACGUGGGUCAAUGGGGACAUUUUGGGGCGUUUUGGGGACAUUUUGGGGCAUUUUGGUGCAUUUUGGGGACUUUUGGGGUAUUUUGGGGACAUUUCGGGCCAUUGUGGGGUCAUUUCGGGGUGUUUUGGGGACAUUUCAGGCCAUUUUGGGGACAUUUUGGGGCGUUUAGGGGACAUUUUGUGUCAUUUUGAGGACAUUUUGUGUCAUUUUGGGGCCAUUUUGGGGCAUUUGGGGCAUUUUGGGGACUUUUGGGGCCAUUUUGUGCCAUUUUGGGGACUUUUGGGGCCAUUUUGGGGACAUUUUGUGCCAUUUUGGAGACAUUUCGGGCCAUUUUGGGGCGUUUUGGUGACUUUGGGGGCCAUUUUGGGGCGUUUUGGGGCCAUUUUGGGGAUGUUUUGGGGACUUUUGGGGCGUUUUGGGGACUUUUGGGGACAUUCUGGGGCGGAUUGGGGACAUUUUGAGGUGUUCUGGGAUAUUUUGGGACAUUUUGGGGACAUUUUGAGGCGUUUUGGGACAUUUUGGAGUCAUUUGGGGGUCAUUUUGGGGUGGGCAUUGAAGGGACAUUGGAGGCAUGGGGCAUUUUGGGGUGUUUUGGGGACAUUUUGUGUCAUUUUGGGGCCAUUUUGGGGCAUUUUGGGGACUUUUGGGGCCAUUUUGGGACAUUUUGGGGCAUUUUGGGGACAUUUUGUGGCAUUUCAGGCUAUUUUGGGGCGUUUUGGGGCAUUUUGGGGACAUUUCAGGUGAUUUUGGGGUCAUUUUGGGGUCAUUUGGGGCCACUUUGGGGUGAUUUUGGGUCAUUUUGGGGCGUUUUGGGGACUUUUGGGGUAUUUUGGGCCAUUUUGGGGCCAUUUGGGGCCACUUUGGGGUGAUUUUGGGUCAUUUUGGGGCGUUUUGGGGACUUUUGGGGUAUUUUGGGCCAUUUUGGGGCCAUUUGGGGCCACUUUGGGGUGAUUUUGGGUCAUUUUGGGGUGUUUUGGGGCGGGUCACCUCUCGCAGGGCCAGGUGCAGGCGCUCCCGGUGCCGGUGCAGGGCCUCCAGCGCCUCCAGCAGCUCCAGCAGCGCCGCGUCCAGCGCCGCGCCCGGCGACAUGGCGACCCUACAAAAACACGGGCAUGUAAACAAACAUGGAGACCCUACCAAAAUAAAGGAAUGUAAACACAGGGACCCUACCA
rnacentral:lncRNA from 1 species